CACAGGCAUCUGGCUCAUUGAGUUCCUAAAAUACCUCGGCCAGUAUCAAACAGGAAUUGGCCUCGGAAAUAAUACGGGUUAUUGAAAAUAGUCCAUCAUGGCCGACCAAAGAGAUGUUCAAUCAACCAAGCGAUAUGUUAGACCAAAGACAGGAUGAGGGGAGAACUAUUACCACUUAUUUGUGUGGCAGUAUGGUACCAGUGGUGCGACCGGCUUUGAAUUACUGGCUUGUUCUGAUGAAAAAUGGCAGAUGGGACACAGGAAUGUAAUCAAAUAUGCCAUUGUACUGAGGAUUGACCUGCAAUACAUGGAAAACAUGUAACACAACUGCAAAACCAACCUGGAAGGGAAAAUAAGUACAAGAUGGAAACAAAGUGGAACAACAUGUUUAGUGGAACAACUUGAUAUUUGAUGACUUACAUACUGAUGUGAAGUUGCAGAUAAUAGUCAACUGUUGGCUUGUGAUUAGUAAAUACAAAAAGUAUAAUUAAACCCUUGAUGCCUGAAGCAAAACAAUCCAAAGCUGGACAUUUACUUAACAACCUAGAUAGAGCCAGACUCCUUAAUUAUGCUUGGUAGUGCAACUCAGUGGUAACCCUCUUGCAACUUUUAAAUAGUUAAAUAUAUUUUUCAGAGUAUUUGAGUGAACGUUACAUUUUAUCCAGACACAUAUUUCUUCACUGUGGAUCUUUUUUCACAAUGGAAAGUGCAUAUUUAUAUAUAUUAUUCAACUGUGUGGUAAAGGAUUCAUCUACGCUUAAAACGGUUUUCAUAAGAAGGAGAGAAGAUAACUAUAAAAACAGAAACAGAUGGAAUUGGCAGACCAAAUACAAAAGAACGAUUUUGUUUAGUUCAAUUUAAAAUACUUCAGAAAGUCCUAAUAGGGCACAUGCCAUAUUGUAAAUUGGGCUCUUUAAAAUGUGAAAAGGUGAAUGUGGUCUAGAGGAUAAGCCUGGGUGUCAGUCUCAAAUCCAAGGUUGUGGGUUGACGGUUCAAGCCCCACCGAGAUACUUUCUGAUGGCCUCAGAAAAAGGAUGUCUGUACUAGUUUCUACUAAGGCAACAGACUUGAGGGUGAUUAUGCAAGCUUUCAGCUUGCGUAGCAAUCUAGCUGAAAUGAUUAAGUUUAAAAUAAGAUACUUGCUGACCUUCAAACAGUUUUUUCCAUUUGUGUUGAUUUGUUUUUCAGUCUGUUAGAAUGUUUAUUAGAAGUGACGAGCAUUGCUUACUGCAACUAAUAUUCAUUUUCUUUAUUAAGUUGAAUUUAACGCACAUAACAUGACUUGUGAUUUUACUGAUACAAUUUUAGCUCUCCAGAGCAGGAUGUGCUCAAGGUGAGCUAUUGUGAUCGGUCUUUGUCCAUCAUCCCGUUUUGCUUUAAAAAACAGCUUCUCUGAAACUACCAGUCCAAUUCAAUGAAACUUUACAGAAAUCUUUCUUAGGUGACCUUCUACAAAAUACAAAAAGGGGUCAUGAGUGAUCAGCAGUAACAACAACAACAACAACAGUAACAACAACAAAAUGGCUGACUUCCUGUUUUACUUUAAAACAUCUCUUUUGAAACUACCACUCCAAAUUCAAUGAAACUUUACAGGAAGCUUCCUUGGGUGACCCUCUACAAAUAUACAACAAGGGGUCACGAUUGAUCAACAACAACAACAAAAUGGCCAACUUCCUGUUUUGCUUAAAAACACAUCUCCUUUAAAACUACCUGUCCCAAUUCAAUGAAACUUAACAGGAAGCUUCCUAGGGUAACCUUGUACAAAAAUACAACAAGGGGGUCGCGAUUGAUCAACAACAAAAAUCUGAUGUUAAAAUCUUGAUAGUUAUGUGAAGUUUAAUCUUAAGCAAGGGCAGCAAACCUUGCUCUAUGGUCUCCCUUUCCGUUGAACAGUGUAUUGUCUAUUUUUAGUUUUUCUAUUUUUAAUAACAAGGGAUUAUAUGUUAUAUUUUUAGCUAACCAGAGCAAGAAGUGCUCAAGGUGAGCUUUUGUGAUCACCCUUUGUCCGGCGUCCGGCCGUCAGUCAGUCCAUCCGUCAACAAUUGCUUAAUAACUUCUCCUUUGAAACUACCUGGCCAAGUUCAAUGAAACUUCCCAGGAAGCUUCCUUAGGUGACCACAACACAACAAAGGAUCACGAUUGAUCAACAACAACAACAACAAAAUGUCUGACUUUCUGUUUUGCUUAAAACCUCUGAAACUACCACUCUAAAUUCAAAGAAACUUUACAAGAAGCUUCCUUGAGUGACCCUCUAUAAAAAUACAACAAGGAGUCACGAUUGAUCAACAACAACAACAAUUACAGCAGCAACAACAAAAUGGCUAACUUCAUAUUUUGCUUUGAAAAAACAUCUCCUCUAAAACCACCAGUCCAAAUUCUAUUAAACUUUACAGAAAGCUUCCUUAAGUGACCCUCUACAAAGAUACACCAAAGAUCAUGAUUGAUCAACAACAACAAAAAAGGCCAAAAGAAGGAAUUUCAUUUUUACUAAAUAAUGAAUUUAAUAAUCAGACUUUCCCAUUGAACUUCAUGUAGAUUAUUCUAAGCUACAAUCUUAUCUUCUGUGUGAAUAGUGAAUAAGCCUUUAUGGAUUUAAAGAAAAUUUGGUUUUGAACAUGUGAAGGAAGGUGAUGUUGACAUAGAUGGAAGAAGCAAAGAUAGUAGUGGAAGGUGCUGAAUGUGUUCUGAUAUUUGUUUAUUGAUUUUAUUGGAUGGUGCACUGUUUGUUGUUUGUGUAUCUAUACUUAAAACUCUUUCAGUGUGCAAGCAAUUUAACAUAGAUUUGUUAGUGUGCAGGCAAUGGAACGAAGUCCUGUGUGUGUGCAGCAAUUGAACAAAGUCCUGUCAGUGUGCAGGCAACUGAAAAAAGUCCUGCCUGUGUGCAGGUAUCUUUACCAAUUGCUGUCAGUGUGCAGUCAAUUAUCAAGUCCUGUCAGUGUGCAGGCAACUGAACAAAAUCCUGUCAGUAUGCAGAUAUGAGAACCAAAUUCUGUCAGUGUGUAGUCAAUCAUGAAGUCGUCAGUGUGCAGGCAACUGAAUGAAAUCCUGUCAGUGUGAAGUCAAUCACCAAGUCCUGUCAGUGUGCAGGAAACUGCGACAAGUCCUGUCAGUGUGAAGGCAACUGUGACAAGUCCUGUCAUUGAAAAAGAAAUAACAACAGUUUUACGGUUUAUUACUACUACUUGAGAACAGUCAUUGAGAACUAAACUACUGUGAUAGCAUGCAGCAUGUAGUAGUACAGAGGCGUGGCUUAUCAGCAAGAGGUGUCGCUAUUGGCUGAAGUUAAAUACACAACAGUUCUCCCCUUUCAAAUAUGAUGUCAUAACAUCAUAUAUAUCAAUAAAAUAUUCCCAUAAUAUUUUAAACUGUUUAUGUUUUUCAUCAUAAAAAUAU